rnacentral:rRNA from 1 species
GCAGUCGAGGGGUAUUGGUUUUCGGACCAAGAGACCGGCGCACGGGUGCGUAACGCGUAUGCAAUCUACCUUUUACAGAGGGAUAGCCCAGAGAAAUUUGGAUUAAUACCUCAUAGCAUAGCAGCUUCGCAUGAAGCCACUAUUAAAGUCACAACGGUAAAAGAUGAGCAUGCGUCCCAUUAGCUAGUUGGUAAGGUAACGGCUUACCAAGGCUACGAUGGGUAGGGGUCCUGAGAGGGAGAUCCCCCACACUGGUACUGAGACACGGACCAGACUCCUACGGGAGGCAGCAGUGAGGAAUAUUGGACAAUGGGCGCAAGCCUGAUCCAGCCAUGCCGCGUGCAGGAUGACGGUCCUAUGGAUUGUAAACUGCUUUUAUACAGGAAGAAACACUCCGACGUGUCGGAGCUUGACGGUACUGUAAGAAUAAGGAUCGGCUAACUCCGUGCCAGCAGCCGCGGUAAUACGGAGGAUCCAAGCGUUAUCCGGAAUCAUUGGGUUUAAAGGGUCCGUAGGCGGUUUAAUAAGUCAGUGGUGAAAGCCCAUCGCUCAACGGUGGAACGGCCAUUGAUACUGUUAGACUUGAAUUAUUAGGAAGUAACUAGAAUAUGUAGUGUAGCGGUGAAAUGCUUAGAGAUUACAUGGAAUACCAAUUGCGAAGGCAGGUUACUACUAAUGGAUUGACGCUGAUGGACGAAAGCGUGGGUAGCGAACAGGAUUAGAUACCCUGGUAGUCCACGCCGUANACGAUGGAUACUAGCUGUUGGAAGCAAUUUCAGUGGCUAAGCGAAAGUGAUAAGUAUCCCACCUGGGGAGUACGUUCGCAAGAAUGAAACUCANAGGAAUUGACGGGGGCCCGCACAAGCGGUGGAGCAUGUGGUUUAAUUCGAUGAUACGCGAGGAACCUUACCAAGGCU